rnacentral:lncRNA from 1 species
GAAUCUCAGGGGUUUUAGAAACACACAAAGAAUAUAAAAUAUUCAAGAAAACACUCCAGAAUCAAAGGGCAUGAGUUUCAGAUUGAAAGGGCCACCAAGGGACCAACACAAUAGGUAUAUCACUGUGAAACUUCUUAACACUGGGGACAAAGGAAUCCUACAAGGUCACACACAAAGAAGGCUCUGGCCUUAACAGCAGCCCUGGAAGCUUGAAGACAAUGGAGCCACGCUAUCAAAGUUCUGAGACAAAGUGACUUCUUAUCUAGAAUUCCACACUUCAUCAAUCAAGGGUUGGACAUUUUCAGACAUGCAAGCUUUCAAAAUAUUUCCCUCUCAUGAACUCUCGGGAAGCUCCUGGAGAAUGUAUGUCAUCAAAAACAGGGAAGAAAGCAAGAAAUGAGAAGACACAGGAAAGAGUGGAAACUAGAGAGUUUCUGCUUCAAGAUGUUGAAACGGAGACUCCAAGAGGAUGGUUUCUGAGCGUGAGUCCUAGCGUCAGCUACCAUCAGCAGCAGCAGCACAGCACGGAGCCAGAUCUCGGGCGCAGACACUCAUGGAGAGGCCACAGUUUAAUCAGCAAGCUGAGGCAAACCGUGUUUCAGGAGAAUUCACAAUAUAAGAAAUGAGGCAUGGCUAUGAUGUAACAAAGCUGAAGUCUAAACAUGCAAGAACCUACCUACCCAAAACUGAUCUGAAAAAUGCUGGUUUUGCUCAGCACUCUUCUGGAACUUCUCUGUUGGAGUUGCUUUCAGGGUCAAUCUACAGUCCAAACUUUACCAGCACACUUUAUUUGUUAACAUCUCUAACCUGAUCACCCGUUAACUUAGCUCUGAGUUAAGACUUCCUACGGUUUUCUCCAAAAUAAAAUCUACUCUCA